AGAGAAUCCCGCCUCCUUUACUCAUCAUAACUUCCCUCCCGCAUCGGGCGGGAACGUUACAUAGCAGGGCUCCUCCUCCUCCUAUAAAAAGUGGGUAAAUCAGUGGUAAAAUACAUUCACAACUUUAUACAUUCUUACAUACUCGCUUGCAGUUCUCUAAACCCUUCCUAGAGCCACUAAUUUAUUCUCACACCGGAGGUGAAUCGGGGGGACAAACCCUCGCAUUCUUCUCUGUUUCAGGUCAUACUUCGGCUUUGGUAUCCGGCAGAACUUUGGCUCUAACAUUGGCGCCGUCUGUGGGAACUGCAAGUAGAAUUUCUCAUAAAUUAACAGCAUGACAAACACAACCGAACAAACCACUGGAAAUACCUCCAACCCAAACCCAGGUUUCGACUUUGGCAAUAGUCCCGAAGGGCUGUUGCCCACCCCCGAAGAACAACAGCAGAUGCUGUUGAAAUGGCGAGAAGAGCAGGCUGCUAAAGCCCAAUCUUCCAAGACCAAAGAGCAAGAAGCCGCCCGACUAGCCAAGAAGAGGGAAGCCGACGAACUACGGCUGAAGGCCCUCCAGCUACAAAGGGAAGAGAUUGAGCUCCAAGAAAGAGCCCUCCGAGAGGCCUUGGAGGCCGAAGGAGAUCGAGCGCCG
rnacentral:lncRNA from 1 species